UCGAGAAUUUUUCACAAUGGGCGCAAGCCUGAUGGAGCGACGCCGCGUGGGGGAUGAAUGGCUUCGGCCCGUAAACCCCUGUCAUUUGCGAACAAUUCGGUUCAAUUAACACCUGAACCGUUGAUAGUAGCGAAAGAGGAAGGGACGGCUAACUCUGUGCCAGCAGCCGCGGUAAUACAGAGGUCCCAAGCGUUGUUCGGAUUCACUGGGCGUAAAGGGUGCGUAGGUGGUGAGGUAAGUCGGAUGUGAAAUCUCCGAGCUCAACUCGGAAAUGGCAUUGGAAACUACCUUGCUCGAGGGUUGGAGGGGGGACUGGAAUGCUUGGUGUAGCAGUGAAAUGCGUAGAUAUCAAGCGGAACACCAGUGGCGAAGGCGAGUCCCUGGACAACUCCUGACACUGAGGCACGAAAGCUAGGGGAGCAAACAGGAUUAGAUACCCCUGUAGUCC
rnacentral:rRNA from 1 species